AAUCUCUCUUAUCUGUAACCAUGUAAGAUGUGCCUUUCACCUUCCACUAUAAUUGUGAGGCCUCUUCAGCCACGUGGAACUGUAUUGAUUUUAAUCUGAUUAAAUGAAAUAACCACGUGUCAACCUGGGGGAAAGACUGCGUGAAGACCAUCAUGAUCAUCUCAAAACUCAAAGGAAUUUGCAUCCAGAAUGGCUUAACUUUGAGAAUAGUUACACCUCAAGGCAACCUCCUGGCAGGCCAGCCUUAAGCCCAGCAGUCCAACCAUGC